rnacentral:tRNA from 1 species
GGGGUUGUGGCUCAGUGGUAGAGUGCUCACCUAGCAAGUGCACAGACUGAGUUCGAUCCUCAGCACCA